rnacentral:rRNA from 1 species
AUGAACGCUGGCGGCGUGCCUAAUACAUGCAAGUCGAGCGAACGGACGAGAAGCUUGCUUCUCUGAUGUUAGCGGCGGACGGGUGAGUAACACGUGGAUAACCUACCUAUAAGACUGGGAUAACUUCGGGAAACCGGAGCUAAUACCGGAUAAUAUUUUGAACCGCAUGGUUCAAAAGUGAAAGACGGUCUUGCUGUCACUUAUAGAUGGAUCCGCGCCGCAUUAGCUAGUUGGUAAGGUAACGGCUUACCAAGGCAACGAUGCAUAGCCGACCUGAGAGGGUGAUCGGCCACACUGGAACUGAGACACGGUCCAGACUCCUACGGGAGGCAGCAGUAGGGAAUCUUCCGCAAUGGGCGAAAGCCUGACGGAGCAACGCCGCGUGAGUGAUGAAGGUCUUCGGAUCGUAAAACUCUGUUAUUAGGGAAGAACAUAUGUGUAAGUAACUGUGCACAUCUUGACGGUACCUAAUCAGAAAGCCACGGCUAACUACGUG